GGCCUCGUGGCCCAAUGGCAAGGCGUCUGACUACGAGACUGUUUAUAGUAAUCAGGAGAUUCUGGGUUCGACCCCCAGCGAGGUCA